GUAUGUGAGGGUGAUCUGGCUGCAACAUCUAUCACCCCAUUGAUAUCCAGGGAUGAUUUGGCUGAUCUGGCUGGUUAGGUGGGUGUCCCCUUCCUCCCUCAUCACUCCAUGGGCAUCUGUCAUGAAGCUGUGCUCUCUGUCGAAGAGGACAACCUUCCCCACUAGAGGAGGACUGUUCUUUGGUCAAGGGCAUAUGAGUAGCUGUACUCCCUUGCUAGAAACUCCAAACAAGCUCUCAAAAAUUAAUACAAUACAAAUGGUAAACUUGGACAAUUUUCUUAUUUGUAAAGCAAUUUGUUUUUUAAAUUUAA
rnacentral:snRNA from 1 species